UAAAAAUCAUUGAAACAAAGAAACAAAACAUAGAACUUCUACAAUAUAAAGUGAUCAAUAAAUUUGGUUCUAUUGCAAGCUUAAGAGAAGAAGAAAAAAAUGGUCAAAAUUAUUAAGUAUGUUAAUUUAUUGAUUCUCUUUAUUUCCAUUUUUCUUGUGGUAACUGAUGUCAGUGCACAUAAAAGGUGUAGGGUAGAUUUUGAUUGUAGGAUGCGUAUGUGUGUAUAUCCUACUGUUUCAGUGUGUAUUGAUCGCCUUUGUCGUUGUCGUCGUCCUCCAAAUAUGUGAUAAGAGAUUGAUAAUGUAAUCAAAGGGACUGAGUUAAAAUCUCAACAUAUGGAAUACUUAUAAAACGGUUCACAAAGCCACUGAUAUAAAUUCUUCUUUCCCAAUAUUUUGUCUGAAAUGUAAUUGUGGAUGAUAGUAAUUAUAAUAGUUACUCCCUGCGUCUUAUUUUAA